rnacentral:rRNA from 1 species
AACGCUGGCGGCGCGCUUAACACAUGCAAGUCGAGCGAGAACCGGGGCUUCGGCCCCGGGGACAGCGGCGAACGGGUGAGUAACACGUGGGUAAUCUGCCCUCGGUACCGGGAUAGCCCGGGGAAACUCGGAUUAAUACCGGAUAGCCUCACGAGCCUUCGGGCGCGUGAGAAAAGGUAGCUUCGGCCUCUGACCGAGGAUGAGCCCGCGGUGGAUUAGCUUGUUGGCGGGGUAAUGGCCCACCAAGGCGACGAUCCAUAGCUGGUCUGAGAGGAGGAUCAGACACACUGGGACUGAGACACGGCCCAGACUCCUACGGGAGGCAGCAGUGGGGAAUCUUGCGCAAUGGGCGAAAGCCUGACGCAGCGACGCCGCGUGAAGGAUGAAGGCCCUAUGGGUCGUAAACUUCUUUUGCGAGGGAAGAAUCUCUUGCUAUAGGCAGGAUUGACUGUACCUCGAGAAAAAGCAUCGGCUAACUACGUGCCAGCCGCCGCAGUAAAAC